GACGAACGCUGGCGGCGUGCCUAAUACAUGCAAGUAGAACGCUGAAGAGAGGAGCUUGCUCUUCUUGGAUGAGUUGCGAACGGGUGAGUAACGCGUAGGUAACCUGCCUGGUAGCGGGGGAUAACUAUUGGAAACGAUAGCUAAUACCGCAUAAAAUGGAUUAUCGCAUGAUAAUCCAUUGAAAGGUGCAAAUGCAUCACUACCAGAUGGACCUGCGUUGUAUUAGCUAGUUGGUGGGGUAACGGCUCACCAAGGCGACGAUACAUAGCCGACCUGAGAGGGUGAUCGGCCACACUGAGACUGAGACACGGCCCAGACUCCUACGGGAGGCAGCAGUAGGGAAUCUUCGGCAAUGGACGGAAGUCUGACCGAGCAACGCCGCGUGAGUGAAGAAGGUUUUCGGAUCGUAAAGCUCUGUUGUAAGAGAAGAACGAGUGUGAGAGUGGAAAGUUCACACUGUGACGGUAUCUUACCAGAAAGGGACGGCUAACUACGUG
rnacentral:rRNA from 1 species